AAGUAAAAUAUACUUAUUUUUACAAAAUCCACAUCAGACCCUAAAAUUGAUGGCUUCAAUUUUCAAUUUCAUUAUUCAUUCAUAGACAUCUAUGAAGUUUAAACAUCUAUUUCAUGUUGUGAAAGGAACCAACUUUUGAAGCAAAAUCAAUUCAUUUCUGGACACAUGUACCUUAAGCAGUACCAAUUUCAGUAAAGACUCGAG
rnacentral:lncRNA from 1 species